rnacentral:tRNA from 1 species
CCGGUAGCUCAGUUGGUAGAGCAACUGACUUUUAAUCAGUAGGUCUCGGGUUCGGAUCCCG